GAAUUCGCCCUUAGAGUUUGAUCCUGGCUCAGGACGAACGCUGGCGGCGCGCCUAACACAUGCAAGUCGAACGAGCGAGAGAGAGCUUGCUUUCUCAAGCGAGUGGCGAACGGGUGAGUAACGCGUGAGGAACCUGCCUCAAAGAGGGGGACAACAGUUGGAAACGACUGCUAAUACCGCAUAAGCCCACGACCCGGCAUCGGGUAGAGGGAAAAGGAGCAAUCCGCUUUGAGAUGGCCUCGCGUCCGAUUAGCUAGUUGGUGAGGUAAUGGCCCACCAAGGCGACGAUCGGUAGCCGGACUGAGAGGUUGAACGGCCACAUUGGGACUGAGACACGGCCCAGACUCCUACGGGAGGCAGCAGUGGGGAAUAUUGCACAAUGGGGGAAACCCUGAUGCAGCGACGCCGCGUGGAGGAAGAAGGUCUUCGGAUUGUAAACUCCUGUUGUUGAGGAAGAUAAUGACGGUACUCAACAAGGAAGUGACGGCUAACUACGUGCCAGCAGCCGCGGUAAAACGUAGGUCACAAGCGUUGUCCGGAAUUACUGGGUGUAAAGGGAGCGCAGGCGGGAAGACAAGUUGGAAGUGAAAUCCAUGGGCUCAACCCAUGAACUGCUUUCAAAACUGUUUUUCUUGAGUAGUGCAGAGGUAGGCGGAAUUCCCGGUGUAGCGGUGGAAUGCGUAGAUAUCGGGAGGAACACCAGUGGCGAAGGCGGCCUACUGGGCACCAACUGACGCUGAGGCUCGAAAGUGUGGGUAGCAAACAGGAUUAGAUACCCUGGUAGUCCCAGCCGUAAACGA
rnacentral:rRNA from 1 species